UCAUAUAUUGCAUUUAUUUAUUAAAGUAGUUUUUUGGUUUGUUACAUUUACUAAAGUAGUUUAAUAUAAUUCCGUUAUGAUGUUGUUUUAAUGAUAUUAUUUAAGAACAAAGGUAAGAAUACAUGUGAAUAAUAUCAUAAUACACUUUUGAGAUUGUCAUGAAAAUGAAAAGGUCAUACAAACAUAAAUCAAGUUUUGAAGUAAAAUGUAAAAGUUUUUACAUUAUUAUAUAAAAAUCAAACCUUAUGCUUAGAGUUGACAUAGUUAUUGUUGCACAUAAUAGUUACACUUUUGUGUGUCGACAAACAUCACAAAUCUUUUUUCCUGACGAGACAACACAAAUUUGCGAUGCACUUCAAAAAACGAGGUAAAGGCACCUUUGGACAAUCAUCAUCAGAAACACAUCCAAGGACAACUGCAAGGUCAUAUAAGAAAAAAGAAUGUUACUUCAAGGUGAUAUAAUAUUGUUUAUAAGAUAUAUAGAAAAUUUAUAACUUGUUUGAAAAAUCACAAACCCAUAUUUGCUUCAACAAGAAAUAUGAAAUUAGAGAAGAUCAAAGCAUAAACAAACAUGAGAAUGUGAACCAUAUUUUUCUUCAAUUGUAUGUAAUAAACACAUUUUCUUCAAUGCUUUAUAAAGAAAUUAUCAUGCUUUGUUAACUUUAGUUAAAUAGUUUUUAGCAUUUAAUGAAGGGUUGGGUAGGUAAGUGGUUUGAGCUAAAGAAUAAGAAGUUGAAUUCUGCUCAUCAUCCAAACAGUAUCGUUCAUUCUCAAAGUAAAUGUCCAAAAUGCCCCUGCGCAUGUUAAUAUGCAUAUCGUGACUUAUGUUGCGCUAGUUAUAAGAGGAACGCAACUUAAGUCACACAGCGUGACUUAAGUCAUGCUACAUGCUAUUAUUAGCCCAGGCAGAACCUCAUCAUGCAUCAUUUUCAAACACAACAUUAAUGUGGUCAAAAAACGUGUAAAAUAGUGUUAAAAACGUGUGGAUUGAAUGUUAAAAAACAGACCACAGACCAAAAAACGUUUGUUCUUCAGUUCUGCACCGGCCAACUGGCGUGAGUUAACUCACGCUCAGAAUACACUAGCGCAAGUAAGUCACGCUACGUGACUUAACUUAGGUAAAAAAAAAUACACUAGCGCAUACACGCAUUUUGGACAUUUACUUUGGGAAUGAGCAAUACUGUUUGGCUAAUAAGCAGAAUUCUAAGAAGUUGGAGGCCCUUGGUUCAAACCCAUACAAAUGAGAAAAACUAAUCUAGCCAUUAAUUACUAACAUUUGCCAUUCGAUACAUUUUUAGCAUUUCGAAUUUGCAACACUCAAUUCAUAUAAUUGAAAUCAAUAUUUUUUUAUACAGCGAAAUCAAUGUUUUUAAUAAAUAUGUCGUGUAUAAAUCCUUGUGAAUAUAGA
rnacentral:lncRNA from 1 species